UGUUUGGAGAGUUUGAUUCUGGCUCAGGACGAACGCUGGCGGCGUGCUUAACACAUGCAAGUCGAACGGUAAGGCCCUUCGGGGUACACGAGUGGCGAACGGGUGAGUAACACGUGGGUAAUCUGCCCUGCACAUCGGGAUAAGCCUGGGAAACUGGGUCUAAUACCGGAUAGGACCACAGAACACAUGUCCUGUGGUGGAAAGCUUUUGCGGUGUGGGAUGGGCCCGCGGCCUAUCAGCUUGUUGGUGGGGUGAUGGCCUACCAAGGCGACGACGGGUAGCCGGCCUGAGAGGGUGUCCGGCCACACUGGGACUGAGAUACGGCCCAGACUCCUACGGGAGGCAGCAGUGGGGAAUAUUGCACAAUGGGCGAAAGCCUGAUGCAGCGACGCCGCGUGGGGGAUGACGGCCUUCGGGUUGUAAACCUCUUUCACCAUCGACGAAGGUCCGGGUUUUCUCGGAUUGACGGUAGGUGGAGAAGAAGCACCGGCCAACUACGUGCCAGCAGCCGCGGUAAUACGUAGGGUGCGAGCGUUGUCCGGAAUUACUGGGCGUAAAGAGCUCGUAGGUGGUUUGUCGCGUUGUUCGUGAAAUCUCACGGCUUAACUGUGAGCGUGCGGGCGAUACGGGCAGACUUGAGUACUGCAGGGGAGACUGGAAUUCCUGGUGUAGCGGUGGAAUGCGCAGAUAUCAGGAGGAACACCGGUGGCGAAGGCGGGUCUCUGGGCAGUAACUGACGCUGAGGAGCGAAAGCGUGGGGAGCGAACAGGAUUAGAUACCCUGGUAGUCCACGCCGUAAACGGUGGGUACUAGGUGUGGGUUUCCUUCCUUGGGAUCCGUGCCGUAGCUAACGCAUUAAGUACCCCGCCUGGGGAGUACGGCCGCAAGGCUAAAACUCAAAGAAAUUGACGGGGGCCCGCACAAGCGGCGGAGCAUGUGGAUUAAUUCGAUGCAACGCGAAGAACCUUACCUGGGUUUGACAUGCACAGGACGCCGGCAGAGAUGUCGGUUCCCUUGUGGCCUGUGUGCAGGUGGUGCAUGGCUGUCGUCAGCUCGUGUCGUGAGAUGUUGGGUUAAGUCCCGCAACGAGCGCAACCCUUGUCUCAUGUUGCCAGCGGGUAAUGCCGGGGACUCGUGAGAGACUGCCGGGGUCAACUCGGAGGAAGGUGGGGAUGACGUCAAGUCAUCAUGCCCCUUAUGUCCAGGGCUUCACACAUGCUACAAUGGCCGGUACAAAGGGCUGCGAUGCCGCGAGGUUAAGCGAAUCCUUUUAAAGCCGGUCUCAGUUCGGAUCGGGGUCUGCAACUCGACCCCGUGAAGUCGGAGUCGCUAGUAAUCGCAGAUCAGCAACGCUGCGGUGAAUACGUUCCCGGGCCUUGUACACACCGCCCGUCACGUCAUGAAAGUCGGUAACACCCGAAGCCAGUGGCCUAACCCUUUGGGAGGGAGCUGUCGAAGGUGGGAUCGGCGAUUGGGACGAAGUCGUAACAAGGUAGCCGUACCGGAAGGUGCGGCUGGAUCACCUCCUUU
rnacentral:rRNA from 2 species